rnacentral:misc_RNA from 1 species
GAUGAAGAACGUAGUGAAAUGCGAUAAGUAAUGUGAAUUGCAGAAUUCAGUGAAUCAUCGAAUCUUUGAACGCACAUUGCGCCCUCUGGUAUUCCGGAGGGCAUGCCUGUUCGAGCGUCAUUUCACCACUCAAGCCUGGCUUGGUAUUGGGCGUCGCGGUGUUCCGCGCGCCUCAAAGUCUCCGGCUGAGCUGUCCGUCUCCAAGCGUUGUGAUUUCAUUAAUCGCUUCGGAGUGCGGGCGGCCGCGGCCGUUAAAUCUUUCACAAGGUUGACCUCGGAUCAGGUAGGGAUACCCGCUGAACUUAAGCAUAUCAAUAAGCGGAGGA